UCUCUCCCUCACACCCACGGCACCGCCGCAAGCCCUCGGGAAUCGAAUCCCAGUCGCUCCUCUCUGGCUCUUCCUCUCUCUCUCCCUCUCUCUAACCAGUCACUGAUCUUGACCUGCUGCCGAUCCCGAUUGGACACCACUAAAACCGUCGACCGGCGCGAUCGAGGCUCUCAGGCUUUGAAUCGAUGGUAUGUAGUUCUUCUUCACCUCAAAAGGUAAGGUUUUUCUCUCUCCAAGGGAUUUCUUCUCUUUCCGAGAAUCACCACCUGUGGCCGAUCGAACAUUACGCUCACCCAAGUAGCGGGAACAGCCGAGGUCAAAGCUUGAUCAGGAUUUUACUGAAGAACAGAACACUCAAGCUGCAAGCAAGGGCUGAUGCCUAUCCUUUUUUGUGCGUCAUGAAUAGUGCGUUGCUGAUGGAGUGUUCUUCGCUGAGCUGAACGACGUGUUGACGAGAGAGCUAGCGGAGGUCAGGGUAACUCCAAUGCAAAUUGAGGUCUCCAUCAGAGCCACUCGCUAUCAGAACAUCGGUGAUUAUUCCCUGAUUGAUCGCACAUGAUUUUUUUCUGUUUAUAUGUUUUGUGUUUCAAAAUUAGUCCUGGAUUCAAAAUCGUUGCUUUCCUUGCGUCUGUUCUUUAGUUCCCCAUUGCUCUAGAUGUUAUGCUUUAGAAGAAGAGAGCAAACUCUAGAUGUUAUUUGACUGGAAGUUAUGGUAAAAUCGAAAGUAGUUUAGAUAUGGUAUGGGUUUGUUUUGUCUGUGUAUUGCUCAUCAGUGGAUGUUAUUUAAAAGACUUAUGAAGUGGGCUUUAAGGGUUUGAAAAUGAUUGGAGAGGUUGGGGUUUUGAAUACACUAGGGAUUGGAGAGGUUGGGAUUUUGAAUACACUAGGUAUCGGAGAGGUUGUUAAAAAUAUUCCGAGUCCUGUUCUUGAACUUUAUGUACACAAAGUGGAAGCUUGGUAGUAUUACAGAAAUCAAAAUGUAAGCUUCCAUAAGUAAUGCACCAGCUUUAAUCAAAUACACUAUAUUUAUUGGUUACCUGUAGCAGUCUUUUUAUUGAUAACCAAAUCGUUUCUUUUGAUUUCAGUUUUCUUAAAGUUCCCCUCAGUCAUAGAACGCCGACAUCAGCGUGCUACAGAUGAGCCAGGGAAGCAGAUGAGAGGUGAUGUUAAGAUUAAGAACACUAGCAGUUCUCAUGUGGCUUCAAGGAGGUUUAUGUGAGUGAAAAAACUGAUGCUGGGAGGAAGGUAUUGGCGAUGAGAUGCCAAUGACCCACUUAUCACCAGUGGAGAUCGAGAAGGAAUGAAGGAUGAUGGUGCCACGGCCGGUGGCGGUGGUCAUGAUAAUAAGGGUCAUGCAAUUGGCAAUUCAAGCAGCUCCAACGGCUCAAGCAGCGAUUCAUCCUCAUCAAGUGAUUCUGAAUCUGGGAGCUCUUCGGGAAGUGAUUCUGAUGCGGAUGAUGCAAAGUCAGAUGAUGCAGAGUCGAGGGGCUGAGAGACCAAAUAAGUUUUAAAGACUUGAAUUAGGAGUGAGUGAUGAUGAUUGAAGAAAACAAGGGUCUGAAUUCUUUCCUUUGGGAAAAGAAGAGCUAUAAAUCUACGGGCCACUGCCAAUUUCAUUCCGGCCAACUCCUUCCGAGCUUGCAAGGCUUACUUCAGCAACGAGAAAUACCACUCAAGUACGUUAAAUUGCGAGGUUUUAGAUCCACAAGUAUUCACUUAUUAUGCAGAGCAUUGGCUGAUGUGCUUAGAUUUGUACUUAUAUUGUUAAAUGCAGAGCACUGGUUGGUGUGCUUAGGUUUAUACUAAUAUUGUUAAAUGCUCUGGUGUACUUAGAUU